UACAGAGGGUGCAAGCGUUAAUCGGAAUCAUUGGGCGUAAAGGGUGCGUAGGCGGCGCGGUAAGUCGGGUGUGAAAUCUCGGAGCUUAACUCCGAAACUGCAUUCGAUACUGCCGUGCUUGAGGACUGGAGAGGAGACUGGAAUUUACGGUGUAGGUGAAAUGCGUAGAUAUCGUAAGGAAGACCAGUGGCGAAGGCGGGUCUCUGGACAGUUCCUGACGCUGAGGCACGAAGGUCAGGGGAGCAAACGGG
rnacentral:rRNA from 1 species